UUCGCGCUGCAGAUGCGGCGCCCACGUGCCCGGGACGCCUUAAAUUGGAACACACGACCAUCAACAUUUCCACAAGUUCUUAAUUUUACGACAGCAAUCUCAUGGGCGUACGGGCAGGAGGCGCCGUGCUCACUUGGCGCAUGUCUGAAGGGGGCGUUAUUGUGGUGGGGAGCGGCGAAAGUUCCAAGGCCAAUCGAAUCUAAA